AUUGAACGCUGGCGGCAUGCCUUACACAUGCAAGUCGAACGGCAGCACGGGGCAACCUGGUGGCGAGUGGCGAACGGGUGAGUAAUGUAUCGGAACGUACCAUUGAGUGGGGGAUAACGUAGCGAAAGUUACGCUAAUACCGCAUAUACCCUGAGGGGGAAAGCAGGGGAUCGCAAGACCUUGUGCUCUUUGAGCGGCCGAUAUCAGAUUAGCUAGUUGGUGAGGUAAAGGCUCACCAAGGCGACGAUCUGUAGCGGGUCUGAGAGGAUGAUCCGCCACACUGGGACUGAGAAACGGCCCAGACUCCGACGGGAGGCAGAAGUGGGGAAUUUUGGACAAUGGGCGCAAGCCUGAUCCAGCCAUGCCGCGUGAGUGAAGAAGGCCUUCGGGUUGUAAAGCUCUUUCGGCCGGGAAGAAAUCGCAUCAGCUAAUACCUGGUGUGGAUGACAGUACCGGAAUAAGAAGCACCGGCUAACUACGUGCCAGCAGCCGCGGUAAAAC
rnacentral:rRNA from 1 species